UGCAGCAGUACAGGGAAGACUAUCACAUGUGAGCUGGAAGGCUGCCAACAUGGAGACACGCAGAGAGAAAGCUAAUCCUCUGAGCUCUGCGGGACUAGGCAGCAGCAAAUGAGUUGCCUCCAAAAUGUUCCUAAGGGGGUGGGCAACGUUCCCUGAAUCUCAGACAACAAUUUAAUCCCUUCUUUACCACUGGUCUCAAAAAAUUAAGCCCCCUGGACUCGCCGGUGGCACUUCCAUCAAAGACGGACUGAAGACUGCAAUCGUGCACGGCUUCAAUCUGUGUUUAUCCUGUUGAAACGUCC